rnacentral:misc_RNA from 1 species
GACAUAGCCCAAGAAAAGGGUCAUAACGUCAUAAGACUGCCUCCAUAUCACUGCCAGUAUAAUCCGAUCGAGCUUAUCUGGGCCCAAGUAAAAGGUUACGCUGCUAGAUCUAACACAACACCACCUUUUACGGCAAAUAAAAUGCUGCAGUUACUAAACACUGCGGUUGAAAAUGUAUCUGCAGAAGAUUGGAAAAAGGUAGUUACCAAAUGCAGAAAAUUAAUGGAAGAAGAUUGGGAGCGGGACGUUCGAUUUGAUAAUAUUUGCGACCAAGAGUUCAUUAUAAAUUUAAAAGAUUGCUCUAGCGAUUUUGAAAGUGAUUCGGAAAUUGAUUUGGGGUGUACUCCUUUGGAAUAAAUAAAUGUAUGUUUUAAAAUA